UAGUAUUCUCUAUUCUCUUUCUACUUCAAAAAUGCGAUGAAUUUCAUACAAAAAUUGGUCAAGUUAUGAUAUUCCAUGAAUAAUCUCUGCAUUUUAUCUUUAUAGUUGUUGUUAAGUUACUUGUUGGAUUGUGAAGGUUGAUUAUAUUGUUCUAUAAAAAAUUGUUCCACAAUUUUGUCAUUGCAGAGAGAUUUUAAUUGAUCAUAUGCUUUUAGGAAAAUUAGGAAUAUUUUUUAAUGGAGAGAUACAGUGGGACAUAAAUCAAUAUAUUAGUGGAGAAAUACAUAUAGAUGAAUGCAAUUUUAAUUGAAUCUGCCCAAGGAUCUUAACUUUGCCGAUCAUUACAAAAUUCCUUUUGGUGCGUCUUAUCUUUAUUUUCUUAUUCUGCAACUUUUUUCUUAGUAAUUUUAAACAUUUACUCUUACGUGUUUGUUGAUUCAAAUAUUGCUUUGCUUUCGAGUGAGUGGAGUGUGCUAAUUCAAUCAUUUCAGUUUUCGACUUGAGUGGUCUGUAAAAUUCCAAGCUCUCUUUAUGAUAACGGCUUUGUCGUUAAGGGAAAAUUUUAGAUUAGACUUGUAUUAAUAGCCAUAUAGUAGCAUGUCCUACUAACUUCUACCAUAAAGUCUAAGGCAGAUCUAGGAUUUAAACUUCAUGGAUUCGAUUGUAAUUUGAUCACGUCCAUCAAAUUUACUGUGUUCAGAAUCUAUUAUUAUUCAUAUUUAGUAGAUCUUUCAACACAUAUGCAUAGCGUAGGCCAAAACCUAUGGCUUCAUAUGAAGAAAAGUGGACAUAGACUAUAUACAGGUACCAAAGUAGUGAAGACUUUAUGCUUUCUGCUGUAAUCUGUGAAUAAAAGAAUUAUUACAGAUGUAUAUUCUUUAGAAAGUAAGUGCACAUACAGAGAAGACGAUGUUACUCCAUUUGCAAGCCUUUGAUAAUUAGGAGUGGAGAUAUCUUUUGGAUGUCAAAUGUAUUCGCAGAUCAAGACUUGCAGUUGACAUUCAGCAUAGUUUUACUGGUUAGGAUUUCAGUUGCUUUGUGUAGUUACCAUUUGCAUUUUUGUAGUUACCAUUUCCAUUGUUCAGUUACUAGUUGACACAAAACUUGCCUGAAUUGUGCGAAUUAACUAGACAUGACUACAAGCCUGCAUCCUAGGCUAUCAUGGUGUUACCGGUAACAUGGAUUAGAGCUGAAUUUUACGAAGCACUGUUUUGUGGGAGAUAUGGAGAGAGAACAAUAGAGGUACCAAGAGAGAGUUGGAAUAUGGGCAAACGUAAUCUGAAAAUUAUCUGUUGCGGUCUUCCUUUUAGUAAAAUGAUCUUUAUAUCCAAGAGACCAAGAUUGUUAAUCGUCUGUUUGAAGAGCCAAUAGCGAAUACUUCAUAAAGGUGCAAGUAGGAGGAUCACCAGUUUAUAAGGUUGGAAGGAAGUUUUGCAAAGGUGGUUUUUGAUAGGUGUUUUUGGGUCAACGUCUUGCUGGCGAGAACGAAUGUGCUAAUGGUCCCUUGGCUCUGGAGUACUCUUGGAGGUAGCCAUGGAGUGCCAAGAGAGCAUUAUAAAGGAAGGGCAGGAAACUAUUAUGUCAUGAGAAGGGGCCUUUCAACUACUGAAUCCUGAAUUUACGCUGACCAGUCUCUUGUUGGUGAAUAGGCUAUUGUCAAUCUCGGGACAAGAUAUGUAAAGGGUUGUUUCCCUGGCAGUUGGUGGCCGUAUUACUUGUGAAUUGGUGGAUCAGUUGUGACAUGGGCAGGCCAGUUGUUGACUUGCAAGAGUCAAGUUUAUUUGUUUGGGUUUCCAAACCAUGUGAUGGUUUUGCAACUUCUUUUCUGGUGUAAUUGACAGAUGCAUCUAUCUUCGGUCGUUGAUUUUCAUGUGUGGGUUCAUCUGGAGGGUAGGUCACCUUGUUUUGAGUGCAAGGAAUUUGCUUUAUCUACACAAGGACAUUCCCCUUUCUGUCUGCUUUAGUGGUUGAAGCGUUAAGCUGCUUAUGCACAUCUAACAGAACUAGCCGGUCUUUAGAAAAGUACACACAGUUUAUCAAACAAAUGUUAUCACCUACUAUUAAAAGGGUAGCCCGGUACACUAAGCUCCCGCUAUGCACGGGGUCCGGGGAAGGGCAGGGCCACAAGGUCUAUUGUAAGUAGCCUUACCCUGUAUUUCUUCAAGAGGCUGUUAUCACCUACUAUUAUAUUUGUAUAAGUUGUGCAAAUUAUUCAUAUCUCUCCAAUACAUUAGUAGGAUUUAUUAGUUUAAGCUUUUCUGAUAAACUUCUCUUCUCUCUGGGUUAGAAGUAUAAAAUUUUCUCUAGUGUAAUUUUUUUCUGCUGAAUGUAGAUUCUCGGAAAGCAGGACACUCAAUCUCCUCUUUCUUAACACUGUAAUUGAUUCCUCCAAACUUAAGGGAGGUAGCGAUAUAGUUGAAACGGAGAAAGUGUAUCUGUUUCGAUUCUUGAAUAGAUGCCUAUGUUCCCUGAUUUUCUUCCUUUAGGUCCUCUGUCCGCAUUAGUCAUGUUCUUGGUUUUCUGGUGACAUAAUAAAAGCUAACCGGACGUAAUUGAAUUUAUAUUGUUGUAAUUGGAGGUUGAGAUGAUGAUGUUGUAUCGCUU